rnacentral:rRNA from 1 species
UCAGCAGCCGCGGUAAGACGGAGGGGGCGAGCGUUGUCCGGAAUUACUGGGCGUAAAGCGCACGUAGGCGGUUACCUACGGCGGUGGUGAAAGCUCCCGGCUCAACUGGGAGAGGUCCGCCGCAACGGGGUGACUCGAGGGUGGUAGAGGCAGAUGGAAUUCCUGGUGUAGCGGUGAAAUGCGUAGAGAUCAGGAGGAACACCCGUGGCGAAGGCGAUCUGCUGGGCCAUGCCUGACGCUGAGGUGCGAAAGCCAGGGGAGCGAACGGGAUUAGAUACCCCGGUAGUCCUGGCUGUAAACGAUGGAUACUAGGUGUCAGCGGUCUCGACCCCGCUGGUGCCGUAGCUAACGCGUGAAGUAUCCCGCCUGGGGAGUACGGCCGCAAGGUUGAAACUCAAAGGAAUUGACGGGGGCCCGCACA